ensembl:snRNA LOC120099054 U6 spliceosomal RNA
AUAUGUUGUAAAUACACACAUAUUCUUGUUAUCUUUGGAAUUACAAAGAAAGUUAGCAUGAGCCCUAUGCAAGGAUGACCCCAAAAUUCAUUAAGUGUUACAUAUUUUG